rnacentral:rRNA from 1 species
GACGAACGCUGGCGGCGUGCUUAGCACAUGCAAGUCGAACGGAAAGGCCCUGCUUUUGUGGGGUGCUCGAGUGGCGAACGGGUGAGUAACACGUGAGUAACCUGCCCUUGACUUUGGGAUAACUUCAGGAAACUGGGGCUAAUACCGGAUAGGAGCUCCUGCUGCAUGGUGGGGGUUGGAAAGUUUCGGCGGUUGGGGAUGGACUCGCGGCUUAUCAGCUUGUUGGUGGGGUAGUGGCUUACCAAGGCUUUGACGGGUAGCCGGCCUGAGAGGGUGACCGGCCACAUUGGGACUGAGAUACGGCCCAGACUCCUACGGGAGGCAGCAGUGGGGAAUAUUGCACAAUGGGCGGAAGCCUGAUGCAGCAACGCCGCGUGCGGGAUGACGGCCUUCGGGUUGUAAACCGCUUUCGCCUGUGACGAAGUGUGAGUGACGGUAAUGGGUAAAGAAGCACCGGCUAACUACGUG